rnacentral:rRNA from 1 species
AUCAACGCUGGCGGCGCGCCUUAACACAUGCAAGUCGAGCGAGAAGGGGAGCAAUCCAUGAGUAAAGUGGCGUACGGGUGGAGUAACACGUGGAUGUAUCUACCUUCAGUGGGGAAUAACCUCUGGGGAACCGGGAGCUAAUACCGCAUAAGCACGAGAGUGGAAAGCAGCAAUGCGCCUGGAGGAGGAGUCCCGCGGCUGAUUAGCUAGUUGGUGAGGGUAAAUGGCCUCACCAAGGCAAUGAUCGGUAGCCGGCCUGAGAGGGCACACGGCCACACUGGCACUGAAACACGGGCCAGACUCCUACGGGAGGCAGCAGUGGGGAAUCUUGCCACAAUGGGGGAAACCCUGAUGCAGCGACGCCGCGUGAGCGAUGAAGCCCUUCGGGGUGUAAAGCUCUUUCGGCAGGACGAUUAAUGACGGUACCUGCAGAAGAAGCUGCGGCUAACUACGUGCCAGCAGCCGCGGCUAAUACGUAGGCAGCAAGCGUUGUUCGAGUUACUGGCGUAAGAGGUGCGUAGGCGGUCUGUAAGUUUGGUGUGAAAUCUCCCGGCUCAACUGGGAGGGUGCGCCGAAUACUGCAAUGACUUAGAGUUGGGGAGAGGGCAGAGCUGGAAUUCCUGGUGUAGCGGUGAAAUGCGUAGAUAUCAGGAGGAACACCGGUGGUGUAGACAGCUCUGCUGGACCAGUCACUGACGCUGAGGCACGAAAGCGUGGGGUAGCAAACAGGAAUUAGAUACCCUGGUAGUCCACGCCCUAAACGAUGCAUACUUGGUGUGGAGCAGUUCAGUCUUGGUUCCGUGCCGGAGCUAACGCGUUUAAAGUAUGCCGCUGGGGGAGUACAGUCGCAAGGCUGAAACUCAAAGGAAUGACGGGGGGCCCGCCAAGCGGUGGAGCAUGUGGUUAAUUCGACGCAACGCGAAGAACCUUACCUGGCUGAACGGCUGACGCAAGCCGGUAGAAAUACGGUCCUCCCGCAAGGGGACGUUAGUCGAGGUGCUGCAUGGCUGUCGUCAGCUCGUGUCGUGAGAUGUUGGGUUAAGUCCCGCAACGAGCGCAAACCCUUGUCCUGUGUUGCAUAAUCCGUAGGAUGCACUCGCAGGAGACCGCCAGGCGAUAAAGCCUGGAGGAAGGUGGGGAUGACGUCAAGUCAUCAUGGCCUUUAGUCCAGGGCUACACACGUGCUACAAUGGACGGUACAAAACGCUGCUAACCCGCGAGGGGGAGCUAAUCGCUAAAAACCGUUCUCAGUUCGGAUCGCAGGCUGCAACUCGCCUGCGUGAAGCUGGAAUCGCUAGUAAAUGGUAUAUCAGAAUGAUACCGUGAAUACGUUCCCGGGCCUUGUACACACCGCCCUUCACAUCACGAAAGUGGGUUGUACUAGAAGUCUACAGGCUAACCCGCAAGGGAGGCAGUGGCCCAAGGUAUGACUCAUGAUUGGGUGA